CGCGAAUGGCUCAUUACAACAGCUAUAAUUUACUUGAUCUUGACACUAUCCUACUUGGAUAACUGUGGUAAUUCUAGAGCUAAUACAUGCAUUAAAGCUCCGACCUCACGGGAAGAGUGCAUUCAUUAGAACAAAACCAAGCGGCCUUGGCUGUUUUCGGUUGACUCAUAGUAACUGAGCCGAUCGCAUGGUCUUGCACCGGCGACGUGUCUUUCAAGUAUCUGCCGUACCAACUUUCGAUGGUAGUGUAUCUGACUACCAUGGUGAUCACGCGUAACGGAGAAUAAGGGUUCGGCUCCGGAGAGUUCGCCUGAGAAAUCGCGAACACAUCUAAGGAAGGCAGCAGGCGCGAAAAUUACCCUCUCUCAGCACGAGGAGGUAGUGACGAAAAAUAACGAGACCGUUCUCUUAUGAGGCCGGUCAUCGGAAUGGGUACAAUUUAAACCCUUUAACGAGUAUCUAUGAGAGGGCAAGUCUGGUGCCAGCAGCCGCGGUAAUUCCAGCU
rnacentral:rRNA from 1 species